rnacentral:rRNA from 1 species
UACGUAGGGUGCAAGCGUUGUCCAGAUUUAUUGGGCGUAAAGAGCUCGUAGGCGGUUCGUCGCGUCGGAUGUGAAAACCCAGGGCUCAACCCUGGGCCUGCAUUCGAUACGGGCAGACUAGAGUAUGGCAGGGGAGACUGGAAUUCCUGGUGUAGCGGUGAAAUGCGCAGAUAUCAGGAGGAACACCGGUGGCGAAGGCGGGUCUCUGGGCCAAAAACUGACGCUGAGGAGCGAAAGCGUGGGGAGCGAACAGG